rnacentral:rRNA from 1 species
GACGAACGCUGGCGGCGUGCCUAAUACAUGCAAGUCGAGCGAACAGACGAGGAGCUUGCUCUUCUUACGUUAGCGGCGGACGGGUGAGUAACACGUGGAUAACCUGCCUUGUAGACUGGGAUAACUUCGGGAAACCGGAGCUAAUACCGGAUAACAUAUUGUGUCGCAUGGCUUUUUAUUGAAAGACGGUGUUGCUGCCCUCUAUAGAUGGAUCCCCGCCGCAUUAGCUAGUUGGUAAGGUAACGGCUUACCAAGGCAACGAUGCGUAGCCGACCUGAGAGGGUGAUCGGCCACACUGGAACUGAGACACGGUCCAGACUCCUACGGGAGGCAGCAGUAGGGAAUCUUCCGCAAUGGGCGAAAGCCUGACGGAGCAACGCCGCGUGAGUGAUGAAGGUCUUCGGAUCGUAAAACUCUGUUAUUAGGGAAGAACAAGUGUGUAAGUAACUGUGCACAUCUUGACGGUACCUAAUCAGAAAGCCACGGCUAACUACGUG